rnacentral:rRNA from 1 species
UACGGAGGGUGCGAGCGUUGUCCGGAAUCAUUGGGCGUAAAGGGCGCGUAGGUGGCCCGGUCAGUUCGUGGUGAAAGCGCAGGGCUCAACCCUGCGUCGGCCAUGAAUACUGCCGCGGCUGGAGCACUGUAGAGGCAGGCGGAAUUCCGGGGUGUAGCGGUGGAAUGGCGUAGAGAUCCGGAAGAACACCGGUGGCGAAGGCGGCCUGCUGG